UUGAGAUAUAUGUUAUUAGAAUCAUACGAUUUGCGAUUCGAUUCAGUGGGUAAUCAAUAUGAACAGGUUGUAUGAGUCGCAAAUAGCCAUGAAUUGUAGGUGAAUCGGUAAACCAAAUCGGUGAAUCGUGAAGUGAAUUGAUUCGAUUUGCUAAAAUCAAUGUUUGACUUUUUUUUUUAGUUUUUUAUUGUUGGAAAAGGGUUCAGACAACCUUUUUAAGGUCUUUAGGAUUACUAUAUGCCAUCUUUUGACUUUCUCCCUCCCUCUUUUGUUAGUUGUUCAUAUCUCUUUAUUCCCCUUAACAUUAUAUCCACAAGUUAGUAGAGUUUUGUUAGUUUUAUUUAUAGAUUUAUUUAUUUUUGCUACUGUUGUUGAAAUAUAUAUAUAUAUAUAUAAUUAAGAUGAAUCUUCCUUUCGAAUUCUGCAAACCCUUCUGCUCCGUCAUCUAUGUUGGACACUCCCACCUUUUAUUGUAGUAGUUUUUUUUUUUUCUUUUUGUUUGUUUGUUUGUUUGUUUGUUGUUGUUGUUAUUGUUGUUGUUGUUAUCCAAGGAAUUAGGUUUAAGUAUGAAAGAUCUUUUCUCCUAAAAUCAAUGCACAAUUUUUUGUUGAGUUGGAGUGUUGUAGAGAAAUUAUCAAUUCAUGUAAGGCUGAUGUUUUUAUUCUUAAUGCUUUGUACAUGUGACGGAGGCAUUGAAAUUUGGUGAGGAGAAUAGUUCUGAAGGCUCCAUCAAUAGAGGGAAUGGAAGGUGAGGGGAGAUUAAUUGAAUGAUCAAACUUUUGGUUGAGGAAAAAGCUCCCCUUUGCUAAACUUUUGAUUGGGAUUUUUGAAACGGAUGCUUCUUGCAUUGUGGUGCCAAAGAUAUCUAUGAAGGUUAUCAAAGAAAGAGCAUUUUUCUUGGUUAGUAAAUCUCUCUCUUUUUCCCUCUAUAUGGAUGUGUCUCUAAAACAUUUUUUGAUAUAUAGUAGUUUCUCGUGUGAACCCCACAUAUGUAUGGAUGCGUAAAAUAUUUGCUACAUAGAUUAAAAAAUAGAGAGGGGGGUGUGUGGGUGUGGGAUGAGGGAGAGUAGAGAUAGAGGGAGGCAAAAAGUGCAGAUAAAUGAAUAAAAUGGUGCGAGACAAAUUGCUUCUUGAAAAGUUAUCUACCUAAAUGCUGAAUUCCAUGUCUCUAAAAGAUUAACAUUCUCAAUUUUAGAAAUUAAAUAUAUUUGCUGAAUCAUUAGUGCUUGAUGAUGGAGGGAGGCAUUUAUAAACUUUAGUGCUUGAUAAUGUAUUUAAGAGCUAAAAUCUAAUAAUGUGUUUAGAACUUUCAAUUAGUGGUUGAUGAUUUUUGCUUUUGCAACUAUUGUAGAUAGUGCUUGAUGUUUUGAGAUUGGUGUAAUUCAUAGACAUGUAUGCUUGAUUGGAGGGUUAGUUGAUUGCCCAAAGAGAGGUGGUUUUGUUGAUUGACGUUUAGUUUUUUCUAUUUUUUUUUUUACUUUCUAUUUGUCUCUCUCUGUAAUUGGUUCAUUAACUAAGCUUUAGCAAGAGAGAAAUGUAAUACGAAGAGUUUGAAACUUGAGCUUAGAAAAGUAAAAUGAGUGUUGUAACUAACUAAUACUGCAAUAUCACUCAGACUUGAGUGUAAUAUGUUCAUGAGUUUGCUAAUCAUACAUUUACUAAUUGAUACAUUUUUCUUGCUACAUUUUGAGCUUCGAGUGGCAGUGUACGAUUUUUCUUUCCAUGCCUUUUCUUUUUAAACAUUACCUAUCAAUAGUUGACAUGAGAGAUUAUAUUGCAAUCAUUGAGAUUAUAUUCUUUUUGAAUUUCAGCCGAAGUUCAAAUGAGAUUAACCUCCUCAAUUAGAACAAGAAAGAUUGAUAGCUUGGCUGCAAGAGCUAGGUGAAGACGGAGCAAGUGAGUUUGAAAUGUUGACUGAAAUUUUGGGGGUUAGAAGAAGAGAGGAAGAGACUGAGGA